AUGAAAUGAAAAGACACAAUAACAGUAUUAUAACACCAACAAAAACAAGUCCUUUAAUCAGCACACUGUAAAAUGUAAUUCUAGAUGUUUGUUAUUUCAACAUAUUAUUCUAUAUCAGUUUGACGAUAGAUGACUGAAGUUGUUGUUAUAACAUAGAAUUACAAGUUAAAAACGUCCCAAUUACACCAAAAAAAGCUAACUUGAAAACUCAUGUCCAGCUAAAUCAGCAACUUAUGUGAACUUGACAAUGUGGGUAAGUUGAGCACAGCAAGAUUCAAAACUGCCUCACGUGACUGCUACCGAGGUGCAUCAUGGGGAAUUGGCGGUUAACCACAUGCUCACUUUACUUGGACGUUUUCUAAUCGUCUUCUUUGGAAUAUGCUUUUUAGGUCUGUGAAGCCAAACUUGAUGCUGGGGAUUUAUUUUUGUCAGUGGAGUCAAAUGGUAAGUUACAAUUUGUGCAUUUUGUCAUACUGGAAACACCACAGAUUAUAUUGUAAAUUAAUAGCUCUGUAGAACAAAUGAUAUAAAGAUUGUAGUGUCAGGGUACUUCUUAAGAAGUAAUAUGGCACUAUUGAUGAUCGCAUGCAGGUGGCAUAAACUAAAUAUUCAGACGUGCUACCAACAAAUGAUUCAUUAACAAAAGCAAUGGAGCAGACUGUUUUGGUUCUUGUGGUUGUAAUAACAUCCAUAACUGCAAGUUUGUCAUUAAUUUAUUUUCACAGGUCUAGAUGAUCACAUCUGACUUUGUCAUUUAAAUGAGGUGGACUUGCAAACUUUGCGCUCUUUUGGGUAAAUUGCUGUCCACUACAUAUACACAGAAUGUGCACAGUAUUUCAGAUCUAAAAAGGGAGUAUGUAAUGGACUUGCUGGCUUUAAUGUAAAAAGCCUGUUGUGUAACUUUAAUGAGGCAGUUGGACUAAAACAGUAUUGCUCAUCAAGGUAAACAUCUGAGGAAUAAGGAAACUGUUACUUGUCCUUUUACUCAGUGUUCUUUUAAUCGCACAUUUACUAAAGUUUUACAUCACAUAAGUCAUUUUCACAAUCAUUCUACUUUAAAAGAUUUCAAGACAGAGCUUAUUGUUCUCUGAACUUCCUUGUUUGCUGAACGGCAGGUAAAGUGCAUCUUUUUGUUUGUUUGCUUUUGUGUGUUUGUGUUUUCUCUAAUGGGCCUCAGAUGACUGUUUGCUUAAAUUUGGGUCUCAAAGAAUCUUUUUUUAUAUUCUGCCUGUACUCUCCACCCCUCUUCUUCUAUUGCUCAGGUUGAAGCAGAAUUUGCCCGUCUUACAUCUGUUGACCUGAAAGGGUUCCU
ensembl:lncRNA